CGCGGAGUAGAGCAGCCUGGUAGCUCGUCGGGCUCAUAACCCGGAGGCCGUGUGGUUCAAAUCCCACCUCCGCAACCA
rnacentral:tRNA from 1 species